rnacentral:lncRNA from 1 species
CUCUUAUUUUUGUAACAAUUUUACUUAAAGUAAUAACAAUUAUAAUAUUAAGAUGAAAUAUUUACAACACUAAUCAUUAAAUGAUAACAAAAUGUACAUAAUAACAACUAAUAUCUUUGUUCUGAAAUUUCCAUUUCUAUACACAACUUUUUUAGCACCUUGCAGAGUUCCUUAAGGUGGUAGACCUUGGUUCAGGGAGAUAACUCUUUAAAUCAGUUAUGUGUUUGUUAAAGUCAAGUUUCAUCAAUGUUUUUUAAGCAUUUACCUGAAACAGAUUGGAAAUAAUCUAUGUAACCUAGAAGCUUAGAAUAUAUUUAUGAAAAUGGUUGACACAAACGUACUGAUGAUUUGAAGAGUUAUUUCCCUUAACCUAGGUCUACCUCCUUAAGGAGUCAUAUUUUAAAUAAAAUUAAACACCUUAAUCAUAUGCAAUGAACAAUGGCAAUUCCAUGAUUUCAAACAUUACAAAUUUCAUUGCAAACUGGGUUUUUU